rnacentral:lncRNA from 10 species
GUAAAACUGGUGGCAUUCCUGACUGAAUACCCUUCACUCACAGAAGACUUCAGGACUCCAGAUGACUCUGAAAUACUUAGCAACAGUAGAAGAUAACUACAUAAGAGGAGCUUGGAACUUUGGCUCACCAUGGGGAAGAGCACCACUGAAGGCUGACUAUAUCUGCACUGAACUUGAUGGAGCAAGAAUAAAUUUUACUCUCCACUAACAUCUAGGGGGUUGUAUUUUACAGCAAUUGCCACCAUCAUCAAUAUAGCUGAUACUGUGAGACAGAAGGUAAAGUCUGAACAAGUUUAUAGCCUCAGUGCAAGUAGCUGAAGAACAAAACCACUAACUCUGUGUGAAGAAGGAUAUCAAGGUUUUUUAAAAACAAUAAAAAAUGAUAGUGUUGUAGACCUAGUUACGCAUCAUAUAAAAUCCUCCCAUACCUACCAGCUUAUGUAUUCAUCCUGUCUUUGAUCCUGGCCCUUGCCUAUUUUCUAAGGGACAGACGUAACGAUAACUCAGGGACUUCCCAGGUCCAGACUACUCCCCCUGCUCUACCACCAACAGAAGUUUGGCACCCUCAUGCGAUGCAUUGGCUGACAAGGAAAGACUUACCUUCACAUGGUCAUGCUGGACCCACGGGUAUCUGCUUCUCUCUACCCAGAGGGGCCAAAUUACACAUCCUCUAUGUGAAAUGUGAAUGAGUCAAUGCUCCAUGGGGCACACUUAUACCAAUGAGAAACCAACGAGAAACAGAAUAUGAGAUUUUCUCUUUCUACAAAAUUUUAGAAAUAAAAUAAGAAAAAAAUAGUUCACCUAAAUUAAGCAAAUAUUUUCCUAUAAAGCACCCACAUUUUCUUGCAAUAAAUACAUUAACCUGGAGAAAUGUCACUAACAUGUCAAAUUAACUUCUCAAUUAAUAAAGGCCAAUUUUGAUGUAUUUCUAGCACUUUCAAGCUAGAAAUAAUGUGAAUAGUUUUAAACUGAAGUGUUUUACACUUUAGUUUUACAGUUUUACAGUUCUGGUAAAUAUUUGGCUUCUGUGCUUUUAAGUUACUGUUGUAACUCUGAAGCCAUAUUUUGAUUUAAUCCUGAAAGGUUUCAGAAAGAAAUCAUGGACUACAAAACUUGUAUAGAGUAACUCUUUUGUUUUAAGCAAAUAAAUACAACGUUAAAAAAUUCUGCAUUGGACAAAAGUAAAGCAGUUUAGCUUACUCAAAUAAAACACAGCUGAAUGAUGAUCAGUGUAUUCUUCUAUAUGUUAUUGUAUCUUCAACCUCACCAGACUUUUGGCUGGUAGUCCCAACAAUGUGUCCUAAACUUCAUAUUACCUGUUUUGAUGUUGAUUUUCACUGCAACUGACCAUAAACACUUCAAGUUAGAGACUGUUAUUGAUAUUAUUUCUCUUUUUAAUUAUUAAUGUUAUGUGAAGUAACAAGCAUAUAGUAGGGAAUCAAUAAGGAUUAGAGAAAUUAACUUAAGAGGAAAAAUACACAUCUGAAGCUGAAAUAAAAUACUCAGAAGGGAAGUAUUACGGGAGAUAUUUUAAGGACUUGACAUUUCAUUGAUUAAGAUUUCUUUUUUUCCUCAUUGUGUAGUAUCAAAGAUCUUUCAAAAAUUACAGGGAUAUCAACAUAGAAGAACAUAUUUAGAAACAUCACAUAAUGAUUCCAAAAUAUUGUCUUUACUUUUAAGAUUUUUUAGAAAUCUCUCUAACAUAAACUUCCUUGGGAAUGGGAUCACUUAAGGAUAAGGAACUUUGGAUUGCUGCAGAGCCAUAAAUUACAAAUUCCAACCAGCUGACAGAUUGAACUUUGAAAAUAAAGAAAAAUGCAAACCCACAAGUUUAAAAUGUAAACAUGUUGCCCAAAACCAUUAAAAAGUCAGUUUGCAUGAUACUCUCAAGGUUGUUUUUUAAAAAGCCUGUCUGUUAAGUAAAGACAGUAUUGUUCACCCUUUGAAGCUGAUUCUCAAGAAGGGGUGCCCUUCUGCUACUCUCUAUGAAAAUAAAAAUGAAAAUAAAAUAUAAGGUUUUAUUUCCUGCUUAGAGUUGUCCUAGGCCUGUGCUAAUGCUUUCUACUGCUUUAUUUCUAAAAUUUUGUAUAUGAAGCUAUUGCUACAGGAAAUCUUUUUUUUCUUAAGACUUUAAUACCUGGUAAUCACACUACUGUAGAAUUACUUCUCUAUAAGGACCUUAUCAGUAGGAUUUAGUAGGCAAUUCAAGAAGAUAACAAGCCAUGAAAAGAUUUGGAAUUUUUCUGGCUAUGAGAUAAUCAAUGAUGUUCUAUAAAAUUCUGGGAAUUAUAUCAUUUUGGAACUACUUGCUCUGUGGUUGUUAUUGAGUAAUUUUAUAAUCUGACUUUUAGACAAAUCACCACAUUCAUUUAUUGAUACAAGAUUUAGUUAUGGAGUCCUUGUUUUACACAUGACAGCAUGCUAGUGGGCUCGUCUGUUGAUUGAAGGGAGAGUAAGUUACAGACCUGGACAUUAAGCGACCUGCAGUUUCAUAGAGGAGAUGACACAUGAGUCCAAUUACAAAGACAUUUGUAGGAAGUUCUAAGAGUCUCACUCAAGGCUCUCAUGUCUGCUCUUCUUCCUCUACACAUUUGUCUUUUCCUCUCUCAUCAUUCAAAAUUUCAUCAUCCAUCCAGGAUAGCGUCAGAAGUUCCAGAC